UUAGCGGCGGACGGGUGAGUAACACGUGGGUAACCUGCCUGUAAGACUGGGAUAACAUUCGGAAACGAAUGCUAAUACCGGAUACGCGGCUUGGUCGCAUGACCGAGCCGGGAAAGAUGGAGCAAUCUAUCACUUAUAGAUGGACCCGCGGCGCAUUAGCUAGUUGGUGAGGUAACGGCUCACCAAGGCGACGAUGCGUAGCCGACCUGAGAGGGUGAUCGGCCACACUGGGACUGAGACACGGCCCAGACUCCUACGGGAGGCAGCAGUAGGGAAUCUUCCGCAAUGGACGAAAGUCUGACGGAGCAACGCCGCGUGAGUGAUGAAGGUUUUCGGAUCGUAAAGCUCUGUUGCCAGGGAAGAAUGCUUGGGAGAGUAACUGCUCUCCAAGGUGACGGUACC
rnacentral:rRNA from 1 species